rnacentral:rRNA from 1 species
CCUACGGGAGGCAGCAGUGAGGAAUAUUGGUCAAUGGGCGCGAGCCUGAACCAGCCAAGUAGCGUGAAGGAUGACUGCCCUACGGGUUGUAAACUUCUGUUAUAAAGGAAGAAAGUGAGGCACGUGUGCCGUGUUGUAUGUAUGUUAUGAAUAAGGAUCGGCUAACUCCGUGCCAGCAGCCGCGGUAAUACGGAGGAUCCGAGCGUUAUCCGGAUUUAUUGGGUUUAAAGGGAGCGUAGAUGGGUUGUUAAGUCAGUGGUGAAAGUUUGCGGCUCAACCGUAAAAUGGCAAUUGAUACUGGCAGCCUUGAGUACAGUUGCGGUAGGCGGUAUUCGUUGUGUAGCGGU